UCACUGUAGACGUGAAACUGCAGUACUGCGCAGCCCAGAGGCCAGUCCAGAGCCUGGGUGAAGCAACCAAAAUGCACAAUGGGAUUGGCUGACCGUGCAUGACCCCUGAGCAGCA